UGCAGUCGACGGUAACAUUUCUAGCUUGCUAGAAGAUGACGAGUGGCGGACGGGUGAGUAAUGCUUGGGAACUUGCCUUUGCGAGGGGGAUAACAGUUGGAAACGACUGCUAAUACCGCAUAAUGUCUUCGGACCAAACGGGGCUUCGGCUCCGGCGCAAAGAGAGGCCCAAGUGAGAUUAGCUAGUUGGUAAGGUAACGGCUUACCAAGGCGACGAUCUCUAGCUGUUCUGAGAGGAAGAUCAGCCACACUGGGACUGAGACACGGCCCAGACUCCUACGGGAGGCAGCAGUGGGGAAUAUUGCACAAUGGGGGAAACCCUGAUGCAGCCAUGCCGCGUGUGUGAAGAAGGCCUUCGGGUUGUAAAGCACUUUCAGUUGUGAGGAAAAGUUAGUAGUUAAUACCUGCUAGCCGUGACGUUAACAACAGAAGAAGCACCGGCUAACUCCGUGCCAGCAGCCGCGGUAAUACGGAGGGUGCGAGCGUUAAUCGGAAUUACUGGGCGUAAAGCGCACGCAGGCGGUUUGUUAAGCUAGAUGUGAAAGCCCCGGGCUCAACCUGGGAUGGUCAUUUAGAACUGGCAGACUAGAGUCUUGGAGAGGGGAGUGGAAUUCCAGGUGUAGCGGUGAAAUGCGUAGAUAUCUGGAGGAACAUCAGUGGCGAAGGCGACUCCCUGGCCAAAGACUGACGCUCAUGUGCGAAAGUGUGGGUAGCGAACAUGAUUAGAUACCCUGGUAGUCCACACCGUAUACGCUGUCUACUAGCUGUGUGUGCCUUUA
rnacentral:rRNA from 1 species